UGCCGGCAAUGACGGCGCAUAGGGUUUCUGAGUCAGCGACUAAAUUGUUGUGCCUUGCCUCAAUUAUUAGUGUGUUCCAGCAGGUUACUUUGAACUAGCUGAGAAGACUGAUAUAGUGAGACUGGCUUCUCCUUCAUUACUGAAACUAGUGUAUGAUGCUGCAAGGCCAAAUGGUAAAACUAGAGAAGGGAGACUGAGUACAGACAUAUGGAAUGAAAUCGAAUAACUUUUUGAGUACAGGGAUGGACUAGAACUGUUGAUCGAAGCGAAGUCUAGAGGCACAUCAUAAAUUUGGCACCAGAGAUGCAUAGAAAGGUUGUGGGUGCCAAGUUGGUUGACAAGAACCUUAUUGUAAGCAUCCGGUAGUAGACUCACAAGCACCGACUGCGAUUUGAGUCCCCCACUUCAGAUCGGCACCAUGAGAACUAGGAUGAAUUGUAUGUCUGGUUCUAGACUGAAUCAUGUGUACUAUGUAGUAGUAGUAACAGUAGUAGUAGUAGUUGUUGUUGUUUGUUUUAAGCAAAAUAAAACUGCACGAUACAACUCUUUCAAAGAUAGAGGCACACAAUACUCGAGUAAAUUUUGCAACUUCUACAUUGUGAG